AAUCAACGCUGGCGGCGUGCCUAACACAUGCAAGUCGAACGCGAAAGCCCCGCAAGGGGUAAGUAGAGUGGCAAACGGGUGAGUAACACGUGGGUGACCUGCCUUCGAGUGGGGGAUAACGUCCCGAAAGGGACGCUAAUACCGCAUGACAUCCUGCUUUUGAACAAGCGGAGAUCAAAGCUGGGGAUCGCAAGACCUAGCGCUUGAAGAGGGGCCCGCGCCUGAUUAGCUAGUUGGUGAGGUAACGGCUCACCAAGGCGACGAUCAGUAUCCGGCCUGAGAGGGCGGACGGACACACUGGGACUGAGACACGGCCCAGACUCCUACGGGAGGCAGCAGUGGGGAAUUGUUCGCAAUGGGCGCAAGCCUGACGACGCAACGCCGCGUGGAGGACGAAGAUCUUCGGGUCGUAAACUCCGGUCGAGCGGGACGAACGCUUCGCGGAUGAAUAAUCCGCGGAAUUGACGGUACCGCUAAAGGAAGCCCCGGCUAACUCCGUG
rnacentral:rRNA from 1 species